AGCUUGCUCCCUGAUGUUAGCGGCGGACGGGUGAGUAACACGUGGGUAACCUGCCUGUAAGACUGGGAUAACUCCGGGAAACCGGGGCUAAUACCGGAUGCUUGUUUGAACCGCAUGGUUCAGACAUAAAAGGUGGCUUCGGCUACCACUUACAGAUGGACCCGCGGCGCAUUAGCUAGUUGGUGAGGUAACGGCUCACCAAGGCGACGAUGCGUAGCCGACCUGAGAGGGUGAUCGGCCACACUGGGACUGAGACACGGCCCAGACUCCUACGGGAGGCAGCAGUAGGGAAUCUUCCGCAAUGGACGAAAGUCUGACGGAGCAACGCCGCGUGAGUGAUGAAGGUUUUCGGAUCGUAAAGCUCUGUUGUUAGGGAAGAACAAGUGCCGUUCAAAUAGGGCGGCACCUUGACGGUACCUAACCAGAAAGCCACGGCUAACUACGUGCCAGCAGCCGCGGUAAUACGUAGGUGGCAAGCGUUGUCCGGAAUUAUUGGGCGUAAAGGGCUCGCAGGCGGUUUCUUAAGUCUGAUGUGAAAGCCCCCGGCUCAACCGGGGAGGGUCAUUGGAAACUGGGGAACUUGAGUGCAGAAGAGGAGAGUGGAAUUCCACGUGUAGCGGUGAAAUGCGUAGAGAUGUGGAGGAACACCAGUGGCGAAGGCGACUCUCUGGUCUGUAACUGACGCUGAGGAGCGAAAGCGUGGGGAGCGAACAGGAUUAGAUACCCUGGUAGUCCACGCCGUAAACGAUGAGUGCUAAGUGUUAGGGGGUUUCCGCCCCUUAGUGCUGCAGCUAACGCAUUAAGCACUCCGCCUGGGGAGUACGGUCGCAAGACUGAAACUCAAAGGAAUUGACGGGGGCCCGCACAAGCGGUGGAGCAUGUGGUUUAAUUCGAAGCAACGCGAAGAACCUUACCAGGUCUUGACAUCCUCUGACAAUCCUAGAGAUAGGACGUCCCCUUCGGGGGCAGAGUGACAGGUGGUGCAUGGUUGUCGUCAGCUCGUGUC
rnacentral:rRNA from 1 species